rnacentral:lncRNA from 9 species
GCUUAAUUUUUGUCAUUUCUCACCCCUGCUCUUGAGAGCUUUUGUUGAUAAUGUUGUUAUUGCUUUCAUUCUGCUUUUAUUUUGUAAGCCCUGCACUCAUUCAUCGCUGUACCCGAAUAUGAGGUAAGGAGUGGUAAAGAAAGACUGGACAUAAAAGAGGAAUUAGCAUGUGCACUCUUCAGAUAUAAAUGCCAUCAGUAUUUUCCUAUUAAAAUGAAGCUUGUUUUCAUCUCAGUGGAAAUCUGUGGCUAAAGUACAACAAUAGUAAUGAUAAUGGUGAGGCUGUUGUACUUCACAUCUAUAAAAUCUUGCAUCAAUAAUUUGGUGACGAUUCCUUUGGGUAGGCCUACGUUUUCUGUCAGAGACACAGGAAUACUUUAUAAAUAAAAUUGUUAAUGUCUGUUGAUCUUUUUUCAUUGGAAGAGGGUGACCAGUUUACCUUUUGAAAAAAAACUUUCCUAAUUUGGGCUUUUUUUUUUUUUUCCUUUUUAGGGCUGUACCCAUGGCAUAUGAAAGUUCCUGUGCUAAGGGUUGAUCAGAGCUGCAGCUGCCAGCUUACGCUACAGCAACACCAGAUCCAGUUGUAUCUGUGGCCUUUGCCAUAGCUUGGGGCAGCACCGGAUCCUUAACCCACUGAGUGAGGCCAGGGAUUGAACCUGCAUCCUCCUGGAUACUAGUUGGGUUCUUAACCUGCUGAGCCACAAUGGGAACUCCUGGGCUUUUUAUAAGUUAUACGUUAAAUAAUUAUUUUAGCUGUCUUUGAGUAUGAAUAUCUCACUUUUUCUUUCCUUAGUGAAGAACAGUCCAGACUAGCAGCAAGAAAAUAUGCCAGAGUUGUACAGAAGUUGGGUUUUCCAGCUAAAUUCUUGGACUUCAAGAUUCAGAACAUGGUGGGGAGCUGUGAUGUGAAGUUCCCUAUAAGGUUAGAAGGCCUUGUGCUUACCCACCAACAGUUCAGUAGGUAAGUCUGAAAUGGAUUGUGAUUGCUUUUGGCAACAAUUAAUUUAUAACCUAUUUAAACACUGUUCAUGAUUUUUAAAAAACAUGCAAAGUAAUUGGUAUAUGAAAUCAAAUUAUUUUGGUUUUUUUGGUCUUUUCAGGACCAUAGCAGUGGCAUAUGGAAGUUUCCGGGCCGGGGUCAAAUCAGAGCUGCAACUGCCAACCUCCACCACAGCCACAGCAGUGCCAGGUCCCAGCUAUGUCUGUGAUUUACAUCGCAGCUCAGGGCAAAACCAGAUCCUUAACCCACUGAGCAGGGCCAGGGAUCAAACCUGAAUCCUCACUGAUACAGUUUUGUUACCACUGAGCCACCAUAGGAGCUCCCAAAUGAUUCACAUAUAGAUGUUUUACUAUUGAAAUUUCUCCCUGAUUCCUACCAUUCUCACUGGUCUUCUACUUCUUAAUGAUACCCCAGACUCCCCUUUACUAGGAUGAAAUUGGUUCCCCUUCUGUAUGUUUCAUCGUUUCAUUGCUCAAUGAAUACAUUUUAAAUGCAUGAAUUAGAAGUUCCUGUUAUGGUGGAUAUGACAUUUCUUUCUCUUUGUUUUCCCUGCUGCUCUCCUGGUGAAGACUUUAAAGGCAGGCUUGCCCAUCUCUGCAGACCCUGCUUGCAGCAUGCGCCUGGCGUGCUGUGCCCUUAAUUGCACCAGGGCCUUUGCACAUCCCGCUUUUAUGCCUGGUGCUCUUGUUUCACUCUUCACCUAGGAAACUCCCACCGGCAUUUCAUGUAUCCAUCCAGGCAUCUUUUCUUCAGAGAAGCCUGUCUUGAAUUUUUCACUGGGCUAAACACACACACACCUAACUAUUUUCAGUCUCUCUAACUAACAAAAUGAGAUGACUAGGAUUAGAAAAAAACAUACCAGUAGUGCAUUUGGUCUGACAACACAGCGAAAGGUUCAUUGUCUAACCAGUAUCUUUUCUAUCACUUUUGGUUAAGUCGCCUGACCUAGGUUAACACUUUGAGGAUAUUUCAGUUUAAGGAGAUGAGAUGUGAAUGAUUAGAAGGUAAACUGUGUGACUGUCAUAUCUUAGACAUAAGUAAUUCAUUAGGCUCUUGUAAAUCAGUGUACUUCACUUGUCCAGAGUGAAACUUGAUGAGGGGCAGAGACUACAGAACAUAUUUAUAAAGCUCUUGUUCUCAUGUCUGGAAAUUCAGAUUCAUUAGAAGUAAGAGUUCGUUGGCCUUCAGGUGCCAAUUACAAGUCAGCUUCCCUGGCCUUAAGUACUGUCUUCUGUGAUGCUACUUCAAGAACUGGGCCUCACCUCCUCGUUUGCUGUUUACCCAGUGUUUUCCCUUGUUCAGGUCAUUUUUUUUCCUAAAGGCAUGAGCAGCUCUUAAUUUCUAAACUGUUUUUGCCAUUUUCCUUCUAGUUAUGAGCCAGAGUUGUUUCCUGGUUUAAUCUACAGAAUGAUCAAACCGAGAAUUGUUCUCCUUAUUUUUGUCUCUGGAAAAGUUGUAUUAACAGGUGCUAAAGUCAGAGCAGAAAUUUACGAAGCGUUUGAGAACAUCUACCCUAUCCUAAAGGGUUUCAGGAAGACGACGUAAUGGCCGUCAUGUACUCCUGCCUCCCCCACCACUUGUUUUUUUUAGAAGAAAUCAGUUUUUGGUACAUUUAAUGGUGGUGUUGUGGACGGCCCUGUGUGGUGCAAGGAUGGACGUUCGGUUUAGGUUGCAGCACCAGGUGAAGCUCCUGCACGCGAACCCCACAGGGGUGCCGCAGUUUCUGCACAGAGAACUCCGGAGCGUUCCUGUAAGUUGCUCGUACUGUGCUGCUAUUCGGGCAGCGCUGCCCGGUUAUUUAUAUUUAGAUUUUAAACACUUACUGCUGUUGACAAGUUGGUUUAAGGGACAAAACUUUAAGUGUUAAAGCCACCUCAACAAUUGAUUGGACUUUUUCGUUUAAUUUCUUCCCCAUAAACCACAUUUUUUAUAUUUCUACCAGAAAAGUAAAAAUCUUUUUUAAAAGUAUUGUUUUCUAAUUUGUAACUCCCAGGGGUUAUUUUUGUGCCAGACACAUUCCGCGUUUUCAGUAUUGCAGGACAGAAUAGAAAUGUAUUAAUGAAAACAAAUGGCUGUACAUAUUUUUCUUCCUUCAGAGUACUCUGUACAAUAAAUGCUGUUUAUAAAA